UGUAAAUUUGCAUAUUUUGUAAGAUUUACCUCCUUCCUGGAUCUGUCAUUUUAUUGCAUGCAUGGUAGCAGAGGUUGUUUUGGAUGCUGUGCUAAACCUUCUACAAUUAACGCGGUUGAUCAAUCAUCAAAGGGACUGAGAAUUAAAGACGAAAGAGCAAAGCAACACAGCAUACCCGACGAUUUUUGGAGUUCCAUAAGAAUAAAUACAUAGAAGAAAGUCUCUCUUUCAGUUGGAAGUUGAUUGACUUGAAAAAAACCAUUGAUGAACAAAUACAUAUGUUUUUUGUUUGGAGAAGAAGACUAAGUCCUCUAUUUCGUCUUUUAAAUUAAUUAAUUUGUUGGACUGUCUGAAGCUUUUGGAUUUAUUAAUGAAUGUCAACCUUCUGGUUAUGCAUAUUUA